ACCAAAUAUUGCCACUGGUGUGGCAAUAUGCGUCUUUAUGCAUGGGUAACUAGAUCAAGAGGACAUAUGGUCACCUUAUGCAAAGUUAACUUUAACAUUAUGCUUCUAAAUUUAUGCAAAUUUCAACCAUUUUAUUGAAACAAUAGACGGGCACGGCAACGCGUGCCUUCAAUGAUCUAGUAAGUGAAUAAGAUUAGGAGUUAAACCGGCAUGCCACGUGCAAACUCACGUAC
rnacentral:lncRNA from 1 species